CUUUUGAGUACCUUCGUUUCCUCGGCGGGUCCGCCCGCCGAUUGGACAACAUUCAAACCCUUUGCAGUUGCAAUCAGCGUCUGAAAAAACAUAAUAGUUACAACUUUCAACAACGGAUCUCUUGGUUCUGGCAUCGAUGAAGAACGCAGCGAAAUGCGAUAAGUAGUGUGAAUUGCAGAAUUCAGUGAAUCAUCGAAUCUUUGAACGCACAUUGCGCCCCUUGGUAUUCCAUGGGGCAUGCCUGUUCGAGCGUCAUUUGUACCUUCAAGCUCUGCUUGGUGUUGGGUGUUUGUCUCGCCUCUGCGUGUAGACUCGCCUUAAAACAAUUGGCAGCCGGCGUAUUGAUUUCGGAGCGCAGUACAUCUCGCGCUUUGCACUCAUAACGACGACGUCCAAAAGUACAUUUUUACACUCUUGACCUCGGAUCAGGUAGGGAUACCCGCUGAACUU
rnacentral:rRNA from 1 species